GGUAAAAUGGCUGAGCAUAGGCGAUAAAUUGUAAAUUUAUUCACGGAAUUAUUUCCUUUUACCA
rnacentral:tRNA from 1 species